rnacentral:rRNA from 1 species
GGAAAGUUUUUUCGGCCAGGGAUGUGCUCGCGGCCUAUCAGCUUGUUGGUGGGGUAAUGGCCUACCAAGGCUUCGACGGGUAGCCGGCCUGAGAGGGUGACCGGCCACACUGGGACUGAGACACGGCCCAGACUCCUACGGGAGGCAGCAGUGGGGCAUAUUGGACAAUGGGCGGAAGCCUGAUCCAGCAACGCCGCGUGAGGGAUGACGGCCUUCGGGUUGUAAACCUCUUUCAGUACCGACGAAGCGCCGAUGAUGGUGGUGACGGUAGGUACAGAAGAAGCACCGGCCAACUACGUG